AAUGAACGUUGGCGGCGUGGAUUAGGCAUGCAAGUCGAGCGAGAACCCAGCAAUGGGGGACAGCGGCGCAAGGGACAGUAAUGUGUAGAUCAUCUGCCCUCAGGUCCGGGAUAGCUGCGGGAAACUGCAGGUAAUACCGGAUAACAUCUCCGGAUCAAAGGUGUGAUUCCGCCUGAGGAUGAGUCUACAUCCUAUUAGCUAGUUGGUAGGGUAACGGCCUACCAAGGCGAUGAUGGGUAGCGGGUGUGAGAGCACGACCCGCGUCAUUGGGACUGAGACACUGCCCAGACACCUACGGGUGGCUGCAGUCGAGAAUCUUCGGCAAUGGGCGCAAGCCUGACCGAGCGACGCCGCGUGUGGGAUGAAGGCCUUCGGGUCGUAAACCACUGUCAGAGGGGAUGAAAUGCAGGUGGGUUCUCCCAUCUGUUUGACAUAGCCUCAGAGGAAGGACGGGCUAAGUUCGUGCCAGCAGCCGCCGUAACAC
rnacentral:rRNA from 1 species